rnacentral:rRNA from 1 species
CCUACGGGAGGCAGCAGUGAGGAAUAUUGGUCAAUGGCCGAGAGGCUGAACCAGCCAAGUCGCGUGAGGGAAGACGGCCCUACGGGUUGUAAACCUCUUUUGUCGGGGAGCAAAGUGCAGGACGUGUCCUGCUUUGAGAGUACCUGAAGAAAAAGCAUCGGCUAACUCCGUGCCAGCAGCCGCGGUAAUACGGAGGAUGCGAGCGUUAUCCGGAUUUAUUGGGGUUAAAGGGUACGCAGGCGGCCGUUUAAGUCAGCGGUCAAAGCCCGGGGCUAAACCGCGUACUGCCGUUGAAACUGGGAGACUUGAGUGCGGAAGAGGAGUGCGGAACGCGAUGUGUAGCGGUGAAAUGCGUAGAUAUAGCGAAGAACACCAGUGGCGAAGGCAGCACUCUGGCCUGUAACUGACGCUGAGGCUCGAAAGCGUGGGUAGCGAACAGGAUUAGAUACCCCUGUAGUC